GGAGGGCGGGGCUGAGGCGCCUGCGCGGGGCACAACCCUCCUAGAGGCGGGACGGUUUCCUGCCAAUCACUGCUGGCUUGCCCUCCCCCUGGCGUUGGCCCGGCUGACUCGGGGUGGGGGAGGUCGGGGAGGGGGCGAUAAAAUGGCGCAGGGGGCGGAGUGAGGCGCAGUCGUUCGCCCAGGCUUUGGCCCGGCUUCCGGAGGAAGGUGGGAGUCAAUCAUUUUGACAAGUCUCCUGAAAGGAACAGCUAGCAGGAACUGAAACCUUUUUCCAUUUGGUCUCGUGGCAAAGGCAGAGAUUGCUCCAGCAGCUCCACACAAAAUGAUGUGCUCACGGGUGCCCUCUGAACAGUCUUCUGGUACCUCUCUCUUGCCUAAAGACAGUGCCCCAUUUUCUUGGGGUUCCUUGGAUGAGGAUGGAUUGGAUGACUCCUUGCUGGAGCUGUCAGAGGGAGAAGAAGAUGAUGGUGAUGUAAGUUACACAGAGGAAGAGAUUGAUGCACUGUUGAAGGAAGAUGACCCAUCAUAUGAGCAGUCUUCUGGGGAAGACGACGGUGGGCAUGUUGAGAAGGGAGAAAGAGGGAGUCAAAUUCUACUUGAUACUCCCCAAGAGAAAAAUUCAUCGUACAGCCUGGGACCAGUAGCUGAGACUCCUAACCUCUUCAAACUACCUCAGCUAAGUACAUCAAGUGGUCAUGGACCAGCUCAUACUAAACCAUUAAACAGACGCUCUGUACUAGAAAAGAAUCUUAUAAAAGUUACUGUUGCACCAUUUAAUCCAACAGUUUGUGAUGUUCUGCUUGAUAAGGACGAGACUGAUUCAUCCAAAGAGACUGAAAAACUCUCUUCCCUUGGAGAAGAGAUGACAGAAGAUGGUCUUAGCCCAAAUGAAAGCAAACUUUGUACUGAAUCCGAAGGGAUCAGCCCCAGUAAUUCUGCCUGGGAUGGGCCCCAGCUCUCUUCUUCAAACAAUAACUUUCAACAAACUGUCUCUGAUAAAAAUAUGCCUGACAGUGAGAACCCUACGUCUGUAUUCUCUCGGAUCUCAGACCAUUCAGAGAGUCCUUCUAAUAUGGAGUUAUCCUGUAGAAAUGGUGGUUCACACAAGUCAAGUUGUGAAAUGAGAUCUCUGGUUGUUUCCAGCUCAUCAAACAAACAGGAUGUUCUUAACAAGGAUUCUGGGAAGAUGAAAGGCCAUGAGAGAAGACUAGGCAAAGUCAUUCCUGUUCUACAAACCAAGACCAGGACUAAUGUUCCGACGUUUUCACAAUCAAAUCUAGAACAGCAGAAGCAGCUUUAUCUCAGGAGUGUCAUUGCUCAUAUAGAAGACCCAGAGGACACUAACCAAGACAAAAAAUACUGGAAACAGCUUUGAUAAAAUGUUGAUAAAUGAAGGUGAGUGGAUGAAUCCCUAGAAGUGGAAUUGCUGGGCGUGGUGGCUCAUUCCUGUAACCCCAGCACUUUGGGAGGCCGAGGCAGGUGGAUCAUCUGAGGUCAGGAAUUCGAGACCAGCCUAACAUGAAACCUGUCUCUACUAAAAAUAUAAAAAUUAGCUGGGCGUGGUCGUGGGCGCCUGUAACCCCAGCUGCUUGGGAGGCUGAGGCAGGAGAAUCUCUUGAACCCAAGAGGCAGAAGUUGUAGUGAGCGAAGAUCACGCCAUUGCACUCCAGCCUGGGCAACAAGCAAAAUUACAUCUCAAGAAAAAAAUGUUCAUUUUCUAAAUAUAUAAUUUCUUCUACAGUUAUUAACUAGCAUUCUUUUAUAAAGGUUUUCUAUUAAUUUAGUAUUACUAUAACCUCAUGGAUUUUUUUAAAGAAUCAGUGUGUUGUAAUCAAUUAUAGCUACUGUUCUUUUUUUCUUUUUGAUGCUCAGUUUGUCUCAAAUAUGAUAAAUGGGAGCUCCUUCAAGAUGACUCUUGUUCCUAUUGACAUGAUCCCAUUAAUCUUUUUUUAAUUGUGGUAAAAAAAAAAUACAUCUAACAUAAAAUUACUAUCUUAACCAUUUUUAAGUGCACAAUUCAGUAAUGUUACAUAUAUUCACAUUGUGAAACAUAUCUCCAGAACCUCUUCAUCUUGCAAAUCUAAAACUCUACACAACAGUUCCCCUCUCUCCCUUCAGUCUCUGGUAACCACUAUUCUACUUUCUUUUUUUUUUUUAAUAUGACUACUUUAGAUACCUUUUAUAAGUGGAAUCAUACAAUAUUUAUCUUUUUGUGACUGGCUUAUUUCGUUUAGUAUAAUGUCUUCAAGGUUUACCCGUUGUGGCAUGUGACAGGAUUUCCUUCCUUUUUAAAUAUUUUUAUUUUUAUUUUUUUUUCUAUUUUUCUCACCACUCAAUUUCCUUCCUUUUUAAGGCUGAAUAAUAUUCCAUUGUAUAUAUACACACCAUUUUGUUUAAUCCAUUCAUCUGUCAGUGGACAUUUGGGUUGCUUCCACUUCUUGGCUAUUGUGAAUUGUGCCACUAUGAACAUGGGUCUACAGAUAGUCUCUUUAAGACCCUAUUUUUAAUUCUUCUGGAUAUAUAUGCAGAAGUGGGAUUGCUGGACCAUAUGGUAGGUCUGUUUUUAAUUUUUUGAGAAACUUCUUACUGUUUUUCACAGCAGUUGCACCAUUUUGCAGUCCUACCAGCAGUGCACAAGAGUUCUAAUUUUUCCCCAUCCUUGCCAGCACUUAUUUUUUUGUGCUUUUUUUUUUUUUUUUUUUUUCCUUGAGGCUGGAGUCUCGCUCUGUCGCCCAGGCUGGAGUGCAGUCUUGGCUCACUGCAUCCCCUGCCUCCCACAUUCAAGCGAUUCUCGUGCCUCAGCCUCCCAAGUAGCUGGGACUACAGGUGCACUCCACCACAUCUGGCUAAUUUUUGUAUUUUAGUAGAGAUGGGGUUUUGCCAUGUUGGUCAGGCUGGUCUUGAACUCCUGAGCUCAAGUGAUCUCCCCAUCUCGGCCUCCCAAAGUGCUGGGAUUGCAGGUGUGAGCCACUGUGCCUGGCUUGUGUUUUUGUUUUUGUUUUUUUUUUACAGUAGCUAUCCUAAAGGGUGUUAAAUCAGUAUUCAUUGUUUUUGUGUCACAACUAAGUAUUGUUCACUGAAAAGCCAAGUAGUAUAUUAUGGCUUCAUUUUCUUUCUUGAAUUGUUUAUUUUUGUAGAGUUGUUAAUUGCUUCAGUUUCUUUCAUUAAAUUUUUUUUUCGGGAGAGCUUUUUCCUAGAGCCUUCUGUUCUGCUGCUCCAAUUUGCACUGCUUGUUCUUUAGCCCUGCAACAGAGCUGUCAUCCCAGGAUUUUCCUCUGCUGCCCUCCUGGGUUGAAUCCUGUUUCUUGGAUCGUAUAUCUUCCUCUUUCUUAUUUUUGGUUUUAGGAGAGGACAUCCUCUGAGAAUAUCUAAGAAAGGGUGCGUAGAUGUUUUCUUUGUCUCUACAUGUCUGAACAUGUCUUUAUUCUAUUCUCAUACUUGAUGGAUAGUUUGAUAUAGAAUUCUACAUUUAAAAUCAAUUUUUGCUCAGAAAUUUGAAGACAUGGCCAGGCACAGUGGCUCACGCCUGUAAUCCCAGCACUUUGGGAGGCUGAGGCAGGCGGAUCCCAAGGUCAGGAGUUUUAGACCAGUCUGGCCAAUAUGGUGAAACCCCAUCUCUACUAAAAAAAAAAACAUACAAAAAUUAGCCGGGUGUGGUGGUGGGCGCCUAUAGUCCAGCCUGGGCAACAGAGCCAGACUCUGUCUCAAAAAAAAAAAAAAGAAAUUUGAAGACAUUCAGUAUUGCUCUUAAGAAGUCUGUUAUCAAUUUAACUUUUAUUUCUUUGUGUGUGAUCUGUCUUUUUCUCUCUGGAAGUUCUUUUUGUUUGUUUGUUUGUUUGUUUUUUUGAGACAGUCUCGUUCUGUUGCCCAGGCUGGUGUGCAGUGGCAUAAUCUGAGCUCACCACAACCUCCACCUCCCAGGUUCAAGCAGUUCUCCUGCCUCAGCCUCCCAGCUGGGAUUAUAGGCACCCGCCACCUGCCUGUAAUCCCAGCUACUCGGGAGGCUGAGGCAGGAGAAUCACUUGAACCCGGGAGGUGGAGGUUGUGGUAAGCCGAGGUCGCGCCAUUGCCCUCCAGCCUGGGCAACAAAAGCAAAACUCCGUCUCAAAAAAAAAAAAAAAGAUAAUAAGCAUAUUGGACUAAAAACUUUUUUUGUGCACCUUUGUAAUUCCUCCCUUCUGCCCGUCUCUGCCCCCUCUAAUCCCCAGGCAAGAUUGACCACUGAUCUAGUGUCUACUGCAGUUAGUUUGCAUUUUCUAAAGUGAUGGAAUCAUACACUAUGUACUCUUUUGAGUCUGGCUUGUCUCAACAUAAUUAUUUUGAAAUUCAUCCAUGUUGCAUGCUUAUUUUUUUUAUUGCUGAGUAGUAUUCUAUUAUAUAGAUUUAUCCCUAAGUGAAUGUUUACCCAUUCACUUAGAUGGGCAUUUGGCGUACGUUCAAUUUUUGGCUAUUACAGAUAAAGCUGUUAGGAACAUUCUUGCACAAAUCUUUGUGUAUAUAUAGAUAUGCUUUUAUUUUUCUUAAGUAAAUAUCUAGAGUGAAAUGACUGGGUCAUAUGGCAGGUGUGUGUUUAACUUUUUAAGAAACUGCCAAACUGUUCCCAAGUAGUUGUACCAUUUUUUAUUUCUAUUAGCAGUUGUGUGAAUUCCGGUUGCCCCCAGCCUUACCAACAAUUGGGUAUGGUCACUAUUUUAAAUGUUUUUCCCCAACUUUUUAAUUGUAAAAUACACAUAAUAUACACAUAACCAUCUUUUUUAAACAUUUUUAUAAAAACGUGUUGGCUGGGUGCAGUGGCUCACGCCUGUAAUCCCAGCACUUUGGGAGGCUGGGGUGGGCAGGUCACCUGAGGUCAGGAGUUCAAGACCAACCUGGCCAACGUGGUGAAACCCCGUCUCUACUAAAAAUACGAAAAUUAACUAGGCAUGGUGGCGGGUGCCUGCAAUCCCAGCUACUCUGGAGGCUGAGGCAGGAGAAUCGCUGGAACCCAGGAGGCAGAGGUUGCAGUGAGCUGAGAUCAUCCAUUGCACUUCAGCCUGGGCGACAAGAGCGAAACUCCGUCUCAAAAAAAAAAAAAAAAAAGUUGUAAGUGUACAUUUCAGUGGUAUUAAGUAUAUUCAUAUUGUUGUAAGCCAUCACCAUAUCCAUUUCAAUAAUUUCUUGGUCUUGCACAUCUGAAGCUUUGUUUUUUAUUUUUUUAAAGAUGGAGGUCUUGCUAAAUUUCCCAGGCUAGGCUCAAACGCCUAGGCUUAAGCAGUCCUCCUCCUCAGCCUCCCGAGUGUCUGAGACUACAGGCACACAUCGCUGCACCCACUACAAAUCCAAAGCUCUAUACCCAUUAAACAAUAACUCCCCAUUCCCAUCUCCCUUGAGCCCCUGACAACCAUCAUUCCACUUUAUGUGUUUAUGAAUUUGACUACUCUAGGUACUUUCACAUAAGUGGAGUCAGACAAAGUGGUAUUUGUCUUUUCGUGACUGGCUUAUUUCACUUAGCAUAAUGUCCUCAAGGUUCGUGUUUGUUGUAGCAUGUGUCAGAAUCUCCUUCCUUUUUAAGACUUAAUAAUAUUAUAGUGUAUGGAUACCACAUUUUGAUUAUCCAUUUAUACAUCAAUGGACACUUGGUUUGCUUCCACCUUUUAGCUUUGUGAAUAAUGCCGCUAUGCAUAUGCAUCUACAAAUAUCUUUUUGAGACCCUGCUUGCAAUUCUUACAUACCAAGAAGAGAAGAGGAAUUGCUAGAUCAUAUGCUAAUUCUAUUUUUAUUUUUUUAUUUUUAUUUUUGGCAUGGAGUCUAGCUCUGUCACCCAGGCUGGAGUGCAGUGGCACAACCAUAGUGCAGUACAGCCUCAAACUCCUGGCAUCAGUCUCCUAAAUGAGGUUAAACUACAGGUGCACACCACCAUGCCUGGCUAAUUUCUUUUUAUUUUUAGAGACGGGGUCUCAUUGUGUUGCUCAGGCUGGUUGUGAACUCAGACUAUCCUCCCACCCCAGCCUCUUGAGCAACCGGGAUUAUAGGUGCAUACCACUGCACCCAGACUAUUUUCUUCUUUCUUUUUUUUUUUUUUUUUUUUUAAUUCUUCAGCUAAAACAGCGGCAGAGGUGAUUUAUUAUAUGGUUGUUACACUCGGCCACAAACACAGAAAUAGUCCAGAAUGUCACAGGUCCAGGGCAGAGGACCAACAUGGGCAUUUUGUUUAUGAGCAAGAUGGGUUUCAGAGGUGAUUGGCGAUCAGAGGGCGAUGAAGUUCUAGAUCCAUUGAGACAAGCUCUAGACAGUAGCAUGCAGUCCCACAGCUUGUACCAGCAUCCCCAGCGUCUGGCAUUCCAUGUUUCUGUUCCUGUGGCCUCCACGGUGCAACAAGCUAGCAGUUUACUUGGACCUCUGCCUCAUCUUUCUUCUUUUGCUCUUCAGCCUGAGCAUUCGCUUCUUCCUCCACUUGGCUCUCAUGGCGCAGAGGUUUCCAAGAAAAUGGCGCUAAGGCUGAGAAAAGACUAUUUUCUUUUACUUAUUUAUUUGUUUUUUUAAGACAGGGUCUCUGUCACUGAGGUUGGAGUACAGUGGUGUGAUCUUGAUUCACUGCAAAUUCUGUCUCCCAGGCUCAAGCAAUCCUCCCACCUCAGCCUCCCGAGUAGCUGGGACUACAGGCUCACCACCACACCUGACUGAUUUUUUGUUUUGUUUUGUUUUUUUUUGAGAUGGAGUCUUGCUCUGUUGCUCAGGCUGGAGUGCAGCAGUGCAAUCUCAGCUCACUGCAACCUCUGCCUCCCAGGUUCAAGCGAUUCUCCUGUCUCAGCCUCCUGAGUAGCUGGGAUAACAGGUGUGCAUCCACCACACCCGGCUAAUUUUUGUAUUUUUAGUAGAGAUGGGGUUUCACCAUAUUGGCCAGGCUGGUCUUGAACUCCUGACCUCAAGUGAUCCGCCCACCUUGGCCUCCCAAAGCACUGGGAUUACAGGCUUGAGCCACCGCACUCGGCCUAAUUUUUUGUAUUUUUGGUAGAGACUGUGUUUUACCAUGCCACCGCACCUGGCCCCCUAUUUUCUGUUUGUUUGUUUGUUUGUUUUAUUUUGAGGCAGAGUCUUGCUCUGUUGCCCAAGCUGGAAUGCAAUGGCGUGAUCUUGGCUUGCUACAACCUCCCCCUCCUGGGUUCAAGCAAUUCUCCCCGCCUCACCCUCCCAAGUAGCUGGGAUUACAGGCACCCACCACCACACCUGGCUAAUUUUUGUAUUUUUAGUAGAGACAGGGUUUUGCCAUGUUGGCUACGCUGGUUUCGAACUCUUGACCUCAGGUGAUCCGCCUGCCUCAGCCUCCCAAAGUAUUGGAUUACAGGUGUGAGCCACCAUGCCCGACCUCUUUUCUAUUUUUCAAUGGGAGUCAUCCUAAUGGGUGUAAAGUGGUCAGUUUUUAUAAUUUUAGACAUUCUAAUAUAUGUGUAGUGAUAUCUCGUUGUAGUUUUCAUUUGCGUUUUCCUAAUGAGUAAUAAUAUUGAGCAUCUUUUCAUGUGCUUAUUUGCCAUCUGUAUAUCUUCUUUGGUGAAGUAUUUUUUGCUCAUUUAAAAAAUUGGAUUAUUUUCGGCCGGGCGCAGUGGCUCAAGCCUGUAAUCCCAGCACUUUGGGAGGCCGAGGCGGGCAGAUCACGAGGUCAGGAGAUCGAGACUGUCCUGGCUAACACGGUGGAACCCCGUCUCUACUAAAAAUACAAAAAAAUUAGCUGGGCGUGGUGACGGGCGCCUGUAGUCCCAGCUACUCGGGAGGCUGAGGCAGGAGUAUGGCGUGAACCUGGGAGGUGGAGCUUGCAGCGAGCCGAGAUUGCGCCACUGCACUCCAGCCUGGGCGACAGAGCAAGACUCCGUCUCAAAAAAAAAAAAAAAAUUUGGAUUAUUUUCUUAUUACUGGGUUUCGAGAGUUCUUUAAAUACAUAUUCCGAAUGCAAGUUUCUUUGCCAGAUAAGUAAUUUGGAAAUAUUUUCUCCCAGUAUAUGCCUUGUCUUUUCAUUCCCAUAAGUGUCUUCUAAAGAACAGAAUUCUUAGUUUUGAUGAAGUAAGUUUGUUUAUUUUUAUUUAUUUAUUUUUCUUGGUAGUCACUGGUUAUAGCAGAUGAAGUAAGUUUAAUCAGGUUUUUAAAAAUUUUAUGGGUCAGGAGCAGUGGCUCACACCUGUAAUCCUGGCACUUUGGCAGGCCGAGGCAGGCAGAUCACCUGAGGUCGGGAGUUCGAGACCAGCCUGACCAACAUGGAGAAAGCCCAUCUCUACUAAAAAUACAAAAUUAGCCGGGCGUAGUGGCGCAUGCCUGUAAUCCCAGCUACUCGGGAGGCUGAGGCAGGAGAAUUGCUUGAACCCGGAAAGUGGAGGUUGCGGUGGGCCAAGAUAGCGCCAUUGCACUCCAGCCUGGGCAACAAGAGCAAAACUCUGUCUCAAAAAAAAAAAAAAAAAAAAAAAUUACGGAUUAUGCUUUCAUGUGGUAUCUAAGAAGUCUUUGCCUAAAAGAAAAGGCCACAAAAAUUUUCUCCUAUGUUUUUUUCUAGAGGUUUUAUAGCUUUAGGGAUCACAUUUAGAUCUAUGAUCCUUUUAAAAUUUAUUCUGUAUGUUGUGCAAGAUAUGGAUUAAAGCCUGUAAUCCCAGCACUUUGGGAGGCUCAGGUGGGAAGAUUGCUUGAGCCCAAGAGUUCGAGACCAGCCUGGGCAAUGUGGUGAAACCUUGCCUCUACCAAAAAAAAUUAAAAGGUUAGCCAGGCGUGGUGACACACACCUGUAGUCUUAGCUACUCAGAAGGCUAAGGCAGGAGGAUUGCUUGAGCCCAGAAGAGGGAGGUUGCAUUGAUGCACCACUGCACUCCAGCCUGGGUGACAGAGUGUAAGACUGUCUCAAAAA